rnacentral:rRNA from 1 species
AUUGAACGCUGGCGGCAGGCCUAACACAUGCAAGUCGAGCGAGAGGCGGACGGGUGAGUAAUGUAUGGGGAUCUGCCCGAUCGAGGGGGAUAACUACUGGAACCGGUGGAUAAUACCGCAUACUAUCGGAUGAACCCAUAUGGGAUUAGCUAGUCGGUGGGGUAAAGGCGCACCUAGGCGACGAUCCCUAGCUAGUCUGAGAGGCUGAUCAGCCACACUGGGACUGAGACACGGCCCAGACUCCUACGGGAGGCAGCAGUGGGGAAUAUUGGACAAUGGGCGAAAGCCUGAUGCAGCAAGGCCGCGUGUAUGAAGAAGGACUGAGGGUUGUAAAGUACUGUCAGCAGGGAGGCGGUACCCGCAGAAGAAGCACCGGCUAACUCCGUGCCAGCAGCCGCGGUAAUUC